CUGUUUGGGAGAGCUGCAGAUCCCGGGAGGCCCCAUUAGGCAUCUGGGAUAGCAGAGUUUCUUCCGUGCGGAUCCUCACACACAAAACCAUCCUUGAACCACCAGAAUGGUGCAAGGGCUUGAUCCACCUCAAGUAGGGGGUAACAACAUGGAUGCUGGACCAGAAGCUGCAUCUCUGCUGUGGGCUUCAGAAAUGCUUUUCAGCUGUGUCUCCAGGGCAAGGUAAAGCCCUGCCAUGUGCUGUUAUCUUGCAGUUAUUCUGCAGAAGCCAGAACUUGCCACGUCCGAUGUGUGGGUGGAACAUGGGUUAGCCUUACCUAGCCAGGCUUCCCCCUGUUGGCAGACCCUUCAUCCUUUGGUGCAUGAAGCCACCAUAAACAGGAGAAGAUAUUUCUCACACUGAGCUCCAGGAAGUUGAUGCUGAAAUGCAAGAACAGCAGAUGUUACUGGGGUGCAGUCAUAAAAUGGAGGCAAACGGGCUCUUUGUGACCAGCUCAGGCCACAGCACCAGCACAUUCCAGUGAGAAAUAAAAAGAGUGUGUAAUCUCAACUCUGACAUGUAUAGAAAGAGAAAGCUCCAUAUUGCGCUGUUGCAAGUGGUGCAGAUGCUAUUUAUAAAGCAUUGUGCAGGGGAUCUGUUAUGGGGUGCUUUACAGCCACACUUUGCAGAAGGACACGUCUGCUGUCUCAUCCAUUGAGAAAGACUCUCCCAGAGCAAAACAGCCACGGGUCAGUGCUGCUGCUCUCAGGGGCAUGCGGUAAGAUGUCCUGUGACUGCAGCAAGGAACAAGUAAGUUGUAAAGAGCAAUUCUGAGAAAAAGCCUCUCUGAUCUGCCCAAUGUCCUGCUUCUCUCUUUGGGAUGGAAUGACAAGUUUCUGUUUGGAUUUUCCCUAGUUCCUUAUGUUCUCUCUUCAAGAUUUAGAAACAGGGCUGUAAGGAAAAUUCUGUUAAUUUCACAUUUUCUUAAAAAAAAGCAGCUCAGACUAGUGACUUAGUCUGUACAACGCCUCUGAAGUAGGCACAACCAUAUGGCUCUGAACAUCUCCUUGGGGUGCUUGAAAUGCUCCCACUUUCAGCAGAGAAGGAGUCACCAUCCCUGGAAGUCUUUAAAAGACGUUUAGAUGUAGAGCUUAGGGAUAUGGUUUAGUGGGGACUGUUAGCGUUAGGUCAGAGGUUGGACUCGAUGAUCUUGAGGUCUCUUCCAACCUAGAAAUUCUGUGAUUCUGUGAUUCAUUAUUAUGCUCUGGAAGAGAUGCGAGCCCUAUGUAACUUGCCUCUCACCAACUUGCAAUACUCUCACUAUGUUUGUUACUAGAAGAGUUUAUUGUGAUUAAUGCCACUGAUAAUGGAACAUACCAACAGAAUCAGUGAUUUCCUCCACAUUGUUCAGCAUUGCCUGUAACUUUGACUCCAUGGGAAAUGGUGAAUGCAAUUAGUACAGUAUAAUCAUGGGUAUUUAGUGUUCAAUUCAUUUGCCUUUUGUUUUUACUGUAAUGUCACAUACAGAACAAAGAUACACAGCAACAGCAAGGCUGUUACCAAAACCUCAGAGGAGUUUAUCCUCCCCUCUGCAUGCUCUGCACACAUGGAGUGAGCAUCCGUAAUCAUAACAGUUGGCUGCACGUGUAUUUUGGGGCAGAAGAGACGCCUAUUACUGUACAGCUGUCCUUGACCUUGGCAUAAUAAAACUUAUCAGAUACAGUCAACAGGAAUGCCACGCAGUGCUUCUGCAUGAGUAAAACCAGUAUUUGCUGUUGCUUUUGUUUUAAUAGGUCCUUGUUAAAUAAGAGAGGACAAGCUGCCGCAUAUCAGAUAGGUUCAGCUGAAUGUGAAAGAGAUUUCAUAUCUCUGCCUUUGUCUCUGGUGGUUUCUGUUGGGAUUCCCAUCAUGCAGUCAUUUUUCUGUAUUCUGUCUUCUCUCUGUCUUGGUGUACAGUCAGAAAUGAAGGCACACAUUCAUCACCACAGCAGCUUUAAAUAUCAAAUGCUUGAUGAAUUUACUCUCAGCUGGCCGGAAGCAAUACUGUGAUUGCAGCGUUUUAUAAUCAUCAAGACUUGUUUCUCUUGUUUCUCUAAGCUGAAUUAAUUUGCAUGAGCAAUGAGUUAUUAGCAAAGUUGCCGGUAACUGCCAUGUACAAGCAAAUAGUAGGAGAAAUCGUGCAAGCUGUGCUUUUCUUGGGGAAACACAACUUUGUGAAAAGUUUUAAAUGAGUAGAUGAAGAAUUGUAUCUGGGGGUAAAGGUUUAAAGCAGGUGCAAGGAAUCCAGUCCUGUGUGGUUACAGCUGGGGUCCUGAGGAGUCAGGCUCUAUCUCUGGCCAUACAGCACAUUCCCAUGUUUCUACCAGCACUUAUCCCCAGCUGUGGUCUUACCUUACAGUAAAUCCAGCACUAGGGUUUGAAAUGCCUGUCAAAAAUGCAAAGAGAAUUGUUACCCUUCUAUAAACUCAACCCAUCACUCAAGCAUGCUCAAGAAUGUUUGACGAACGAAUAGAGUGCCAGAAGAUGUGGUAUUGUCUGUCCUCCUUCGUGCAGCCAGUGUGAAGCUGAUCUGAGUUCUAUUUCCUGCACGCUGGCUCUAUCAGCAAGAGUAAAUGCCACGCUUACCUGUCUUUAAUCCUAGUAUUUACAGCUAGGUGUGCUGGGAGAUCUGGAUGGAUGAUUGAGCCAGCAGUAGUUCUCAUGACCAUGAUAUUUUUAAGAUCGUUGAAGGUUUCUCUAUCACGGCUGAGGACAGACAUUUGUGAAAAGCUUCAGCUUUUUCUUUCUGUGAAGCUGCUGAACUGCUUCUGACAAUUACUUUAAGUGGAGGGCAGUGUUUACACUUCCCAGUUUCAAUGAGCUUUCCCCAGCUCAUUGUGGUAUUCAUUGCUGUAUUAAUUGCACAUGUACAGAAGCUUGUGGUAUUGUGCAAAAUCCUAAUAACAUCUUAAUGAUUGUGUACUUCCCUCUCCUUCUCCAGUCUGUGCCUUAUUGAUGUUUUCAUUAAACAGUCCAAACAGCGAGGCUGGGUGCACACAGCAAAAUGUCUCCACCUCAUCGGAGAAAAAGACAAAUCCUUAAAGAAAUUGGCAGUUGGAGGAUGCCAGACACCUCGCUCUGAGGACAAAUAAAAGCACUCUGAAUAAUCGUGUAAGAAGUAAUAGGAGGGAUGGCAGAGGGAGAGGCUGCACCUUCCUCCACACAGCUCAUGGAAAGGCAGCUAGCAGUAGGACAUUAAAAGGUCUGUGCAUUUUGACUUACGUUGCCAAGGGAACUUGGCAGUAUUGGUGGGAAGGUAUGAAAAAUAGUGCUAAUGAACCGCAAUUUACUUCUCAAGUACUCAGAGUAGAGGGACGGUGUGAUGGACGUGCAAGUUUUAUUGGAAUUCUCUUGGAAAGACCUGAAUAACUUGCAGUGCCUCCGUACAAAACUUGUGUUAUUCUGACAGCUUUAUCACGUACCUUCUCUUUCCAGCUAGGCUGAUGUCCCCCCGCUAGCUGCACAGGACUCCAGCAAGCCUGAUGGAUGAGUAUGAGUAAUAACUUGUCAUUUUGUAGAGCUUUUCAUCGGAGUCAUUUGAAAGCCCCUCACAAUGGAAUUAUCAUUAUCUCCGUAUGCCAGAGGAGAAAUCAAGGCACAAAGCUGCUCAGGAGAUCAAAAAAGCAUCCAGGUCUCACAGAACCUUGCUUCAGUGCUUCGUCAGCUGUCUUCACUGGUGCCCUGAACCUGUGUCUUUGCUGUUAUUCUUCCUUGCCCUCUUCAGUUGAAGGAGGUACUGGGGAGAGGGCAGUGAUGCUGUAUCUUCUUCGGUGUCACAAAAUGCACAGCAGACAUGGCAUUAGAAAAUAAUGGGAUUUAUUUUUUUAAUUCCUAAUAUGACUUUAUGUGAGAAAAAAACUCUGUAAAAAUAAUUAAUUUUCAAUUUAUACUCAGAAUAAUAACUGACAUGGUAGUAAAUUGCGUUCAUUCAUAUCUAAUUUGGUGUGGCUAAUUUCCUCAACGCCAGUGAGCUGCCUGGGUCCUUCUUAUCACCUUUAUGUAUUAGCUGAAUCUUGUUGCACAUUUGUUCUGUGCUUAUGUAACUAUGACUUAAUUACAUGGCAACUGAAUUUAUACCCUGGUACGGAAGGAUUGCUCCUCAGACAGUUUCUCAGAUAAACAAAAGAUAAUUACCAUGUUCCUGCUUUAAUUAAUGUAAAUUAUAGCACUGUUUGAAUGGUCUUGUGUCCAUGCUUGGUGAGGUGCAGAUCACUGCUCCAGCCAUGCUGUGCUCCUACCGUGCCCCUUGGAGUCAGUGCUGUCCAGCAGAGAUGGUUUCAUCCAGCUGCAAACGUCAGCGAUUUUACUCAUGAAAAUAGUCCCUCGGUAGUGGGGAAUGACAUGUACGUAACAUUUAAAUACUUGCUUAUUGCAGUAUGCAUUGCCUGUCCCCGUGCCUCAGAGAAGAAUGUGCAACAUGCUCCUGCACUGCGUGACCUACUUACAGCAAGUGGGAGCCAAUUCCCAUCACCUUCUCGCUGUUCUGUCAGUCAAUACUUUGUUCUUAACGCUGUUGUUUUCCUCUCCCAGCUGCACAGUUCAUGAUUGCAGGGAAAAAGGACCUUUCCUCACCUCCUUUCCCCAGUGCUUUUCCCCAUUAAUAUGGUCAAGUGGUGUUGAUUUCCAAACCACACCUGAGACAUGGAAGAAAAGUGUAGGAAAGAGACAGACUUCCAGCCAUGCAGCUUUCUCAGCACUCUCUUCUGUGAGAUGAAUGAUGAUUGUCACAAAUUUGCAACCUCCUCAUGAUGCCUAGGAGUGAGCAAGGCAGGAGAGUGCUUUGUUGGAGCAUGGUUCGAGGCUCAGCACAGAGCGUUAACUGUCCUUCCUCUCCUGCUGCUGCUGGAGGAAUGCCUCCAAGAGCUAACAUAAUUAAUUAAAAAUGCCAUAGCAUAGUAAAAACUCCCAUUUAUCCCACACUGUCACCUGUGCUGUGAAGAAGGAGGCUGGCACCCACCCACUUCUGCAUCCAGGUGUCCUCUGGCACGGAGGUAAUGGGACGUGAAGGUGCCUCCACUCUCAGGGAACGUGGCAGCGUUCAGCUCCUGGGGAAGCCAUGAGGAGCUCGGGAAAAAUGGGAUUUUGUUGGCUUUGGGCUGAGCUGUGCUUUGUUUGUUUGAUUUCAGUGAAAGCGUUUAUGUUUUUCAGUGUGCAAACUGGGAUGCUUCUGCCAGGGUUCAGCCCACAGGAGUGUUGUACAGCCUGUGAGCAAGUAGAGACACUGAAAGCGUCCCCGUGUGGUGCAGCUCCUGAAACUGUGGGGUGAAUGCAUGCUGACUUGGAGAUGCUGGGAGGAAACACAAGCAAUCCUUCAAGAUACUUAAAUAAUGUUUCAUGACUCAAGUGAAAUGCUCUUGUUAGGCCCUCUGGAGGAGAAUUUGACAUUUUCCGUGCCACCUGCAAGAUUAAAAGAAAAUGCUGUUGGCUUCUGCAUUGUCUCCUGAAAGGCAGAGGGGCUGACAGAAAUGUAAUUAAAUUACCUGCAGCAUUCAUCUGUUGUCAUAGCAGCCCUUGCAAUGAAUAUAACAAUAAUUUCAUCUACAGCUUAGCUUAAUGCAGCUUCGCCUAGACCAGCCAGCAGGCAAUUUUUCUGUCCCAUAUCUGGCAGAGAAAGAGUUCAAGAGUUCCCAUUUCUGCUUCGCCAACUGUGAUCUACCACAGGGUAAAAUCACCGAUUAUGUCUUUGCUGCAUUCCUCCAGCAUCAGAUAACACUGGUCAUUACCUGUGGGUGUUCUUGUGUGAUUCAGAAGAUCAGAUUAGGUGAUUAUAUUUUCUUUGGGCCUUAAAAAUCCCAGAAUCUCUGCAUCAACUUAUAUGCAAGUCAUAAAAGCACAGUGCCGUGUUUUCCAUCUCAGCUAAAUCCUAAAAGACCUGGCUGUGCUUUAAGUACAUGUAUAUGCCUUCAUUUCGAUGGAGCAGUGUUUGGGCUUUAGUGUGAGGAGUACAGUAAGGACACAGCAGUGCUGGCAUUGAUCAAGGGCACAGCAGAGUGAGUAGAAUGUCUCUGCAUUUAAUUUAUUUAUUUAUUUACAUUUGCCAGGUAUAUUUCAAACUGAGAUUUUCUUGAUGGACCCAGGUGUAGAGGCUCCAACCAGCUCAUGGCUGUCCUUUGGUAGCUGCAGAGUGAGCUCCCUGGCUCAGUUCGGUAUCCUGUAGGUAAAUGGUGGUACCCAUCGCUGUGCUUGGCAGAGACAGGCCAGCAGGCUCUCUGCAGAAAGGCUAAAGGACUGAGGGAUCCUGAACACCUGCAUAAUAUCUAAUCCCUAAAGGUGGAUCAUCUGUUAACUCCAAGAAAAGGUAGUACUAAUUUCCAUACCUUGCCCUUCUUCGGGAAUGGGGGACUUUGAUUUACCACCUCAGGAAAUUUCAACAAAAUUUACUUCAAUUGCUGAGAAUUGAUUAUUUUUUUUCUCAACUUUAUGUACUGCUUUCCUCUAAAAAUGACUGCUAUUUACCACUUUUCUUAAUUAAACAGUCACACAAUUCACAUAUGUAGGAAUAACAUUUCAAGAGAACAAUUAAAAACAACUCAAAAAUGGAAGAAUAUGAAAAUGGAAACAUACAGCAUCUGGAAGAAAUCUGUGGAUCCACCUGGUAUACCUGGGAAACAUCCCCUUUUUGCUUCUUUCAUUUUCAUUCCAGUUAAGCAGUUCUAGGGAGCUGAGGUUCCCCCUACAAUGGCUUGUUCUUAUCUCACAGAUUCAGGAAUUCACAAGUUGAAGACUGUUUAAAUACCAUGUUUAAAAGGCUAACUUGUGCAUGGCCAAGAUAAGCUGAUUUGUAAGCUGAGGCUUCCCUGAGCCUGGUGUUCGGAGGAUUCUUCCUUCGGGCAUGCUCUGCUCAGAGCACUGAAGCUUUCUCUCUCUGGAGCAACUGUUCAUAAUGACCUCCCCAGGCUAAGCAGUAAAAAAAAAAUGAGUUGUUGCAAAUUGCUUAUGUGUUGUCAUUUUACUUUUCUUCAUAUAAAUAGAGCCAACGAUAUAUCCACAUGCACGGUAUCUCUCCUAUGAUGCUCUCGAGUGCUUUCCACAGGUGCAUAGUGUUUGUUCCUGUUUUGCAGAUGAGCUAAGAGGGAUGGCAGUACCAGAAGAGCACAGCUGAGUCUCAAACUGAUCUUUAUUUGGAUCCUUCCCCCAGGCCAGCAGUACCUGCACCUUCUGAGCCUGCAUGUGCCAAGCCCUGUGCCAGGCGAGCUUUCUGCUGCAGCCAAGUCCUUCAGGUUGAUGAGCAGUACUUUCAUUGCCCCCUAAA